ACAACUCAAUUUAGGAGUAGAGGUUUAGUGUGAAUCACACCUGAAUCUGAUUGGACAAUGACAGUCCAAUCACAAAGCAGAGUGAAAUUGUCCAGUCAGGUCGUAGCUGGGUUCUUCAAAUUAGUUUCCGGUGGCUGAUCUGUAAGUUUGGUUUGCAGUGGAGAUUCAAGAUGGACGAGCUGUUCUACUCAGGCCACAGAACCAAGGAGAAGAAUAUGGGACUUGCAGAGCUUAAAUAGCCUCGGGCAUGUUGUGAGGAAGACCGACAGCGUUCCAGGCCCCUGUCACUCCUACAUAUGGACAUCAACUGCAAGUUGAUCAGGUUCCUUGAUGCUGCAAAGAAACCUGACUGUACAUCCUGUUAUGCAGUCAUUUUUAACCAUACACCAAUCACAUACCAUGUUCAUUGAGGUCCUAGAUGAACUGGACUACUAUGUGAGCUUCUUAAAUAUGUUAUGCCUGAUUGGUCUAUUAUUGAAUUUUAUAGUAGCAACUUUUCAGUCAUUUAAAGCUUCAAAUGUACAUAUUCUUCUGUAAAGAACUAUUUUCCACAGCUCUGGCGGAAGAAGACUUCCCGAAUGAGAUGAUUUGUAUUUAAUAAGAAUGUUAAGUGUUUGGGGCCUGUAAAAUUAAACACACUUUCUCCCACACAGAACCCUCUUUUUUCAUGGUGCUAAUGUUACUGUGAAGAACCAAGACCUGAAGCAGUUUAAGUUGUAAUAGCUUUAUUGAAGAAAACAACAACAAAAAAAAAAAAGCCCUGACAAGAAUGAAUGUUGAACACAGGGCCAUUACAACAAUCUCCCACAUGGAGCACCCUCAUUUUGUUUUUCUGGUGAAGGUUUGGAAUAAGAUGGGAAAUCCCUGCUGGUGGGGUCAAGGUAGAGAACCACAGAUGUGAGGACUCUUCCAGUCACACUACGAGAGGUCUUCACAGCUGUGGUUCUCUACGUUGAUGACUCCACCAGUAGGAAUUUCCCAUCUUACCCAAAACUUCAGAAGCUGGAUGAGCUGGGAUGGAGA